AUUCCAGCUCCAAUAGCGUAUAUUAAAGUUGUUGCAGUUAAAAAGCUCGUAGUCGGAUUUUGGCAUCACGCCGAACUGUCUGCCGAUUGGUAAGUACGGUUUGGCGGGUGCUUCCUUCCGGAGGCUCGUUCCCUUCUUCAUUGAAGGGUUCGUUGGUUCCGGGUCUUUUACUUUGAGAAAAUUAGAGUGUUCAAAGCAGGCCUAUGCUCUGAAUAGGUUAGCAUGGAAUAAUAGAAUAGGACUUUGGUUCUAUUUUGUUGGUUUCUAGGACCGAAGUAAUGAUUGAUAGGGAUAGUUGGGGGUGCUAGUAUUGAGCGACCAGAGGUGAAAUUCUUGGAUUCGCUCAAGACUAACUUAUGCGAAAGCAUUCACCAAGGAUGUCUUCAUCG
rnacentral:rRNA from 1 species